UACAGAGGUCUCAAGCGUUGUUCGGAUUCAUUGGGCGUAAAGGGUGCGUAGGUGGCAUGGUCAGUCGGAUGUGAAAUCCCGGGGCUCAACCCCGGAACUGCAUUCGAUACUGCCAGGCUAGAGUACUGGAGAGGAGAUUGGAAUUUACGGUGUAGCAGUGAAAUGCGUAGAUAUCGUAAGGAAGACCAGUGGCGAAGGCGGAUCUCUGGACAGUUACUGACACUGAGGCACGAAGGCCAGGGGAGCAAACGGG
rnacentral:rRNA from 1 species